CAUCAUAACGGGCAAUUUAUGUCUUCAAUUUCAAUUUGAGACACAUGUCAAUUUUUAAUUAGUCUCAAAUUCAACUAUUUUAUUUUUUCAUCGUUAAUUUGGUAAAAUGACAUGACAUGCGAUUGGUCCAAAAUUUCUUAUUCAAUAAAUGUCCAUUUUCGAGAUUUAUGCAUGUAUCCAGAUGAAUCUUGAAAAAUCUUUCUUCAAUAUAGAAAUACUUAGCCUUUUGAAAAA
rnacentral:lncRNA from 1 species